CUUAUUUUUUCGUACCACGGCGAGGCCGGAUUCCUGUUUUAUCAUGAAUAUUCAUUAGGCAGGGUCGGGGAAAGUCUCGAUUCUCUUAAAUAUUCAUAUCGAGGUGGGAAUGCACGACGCGCGCUAUACUCGCACAAAGUGAGAAGAUUUAGUUCACGGAGAAUGCAUAUGGAUUGAAACUGAAGAGCUGGAAGGAGGACAUUACAACAUCUCUUAUAUUUGCAAGAUGAAGCAGAAAGUCCCAUGCAGGAUGAUGCCUCUCUACAGUGGAUGAUGAAGGCAUUCUGGUUUGCAAACUCAGGAGAGGAACAAAGAACAGAUGUUGACGGGAUCAUAUCUAGAGAUGCGGGCCUACUACACUUCAUACGAGCAAGUGUGCUAAUAUACAUGAAGACUUGGGUUAUAUUUUUUUCUGAAAACUAGGCUACAACUUUAGUGAUGGAUGCAGAAGAUAUCUACACGAGACUACGUCUUAAAGAUGCCACCCUCAUAUAAUGAAAGAGGACAAUAGAGAUGGGUUUAAACUGGAA
rnacentral:lncRNA from 15 species